rnacentral:rRNA from 1 species
GGAUGAGGUCUGGCGGCGUGCCUAAUACAUGCAAGUCGAGCGGUAACACUUCGGGUGACGAGCGGCGGACGGCAGAGUAACGCGUAGGAACGUACCCCAAACUGAGGGAUAAGCACCAGAAAUGGUGUCUAAUACCGCAUGUGAUCUUCGGAUUAAAGCUUCGGCGGUUUGGGAACGGCCUGCGUAUGAUUAGCUUGUUGGUAAGGUAAUGGCUUACCAAGGCGACGAUCAUUAGCUGGUCUGAGAGGAUGAUCAGCCUGACUGGAACUGAGAACGGUCCAGACUCCUACGGGAGGCAGCAGUAGGGAAUUUUCCACAAUGGGCGAAAGCCUGAUGGAGCAACGCCGCGUGCAGGAUGAAGGCCUUCGGGUUGUAAACUGCUUUUAUAUGUGACGAUUAUGACGGUAGCAUAUGAAUAAGGAUCGGCUAACUCCGUGCCAGCAGCCGCGGUCAUACGGGGGAUCCAAGCGUUAUCCGGAAUUACUGGGCGUAAAGAGUUGCGUAGGUGGCAGAGUAAGUAGGUAGUGAAAUGAUGUGGCUCAACCACAUGUCCAUUACCUAAACUGCUCAGCUAGAGGGCGAGAGAGGUAGCUAGAAUUCCUAGUGUAGGAGUGAAAUCCGUAGAUAUUAGGAGGAAUACCGAUGGCGUAGGCAGGCUACUGGCUCGUCCCUGACACUAAGGCACGAAAGCGUGGGGAGCGACCGGGAUUAGAUACCCCGUUAGUCCACGCCGUAAACGAUGGAUGCUAGCUGUUUUCCGUAUCGACCCGGGAAGUAGCGAAGCUAACGCGUUAAGCAUCCCGCCUGUGGAGUACGGUCGCAAGACUAAAACAUAAAGGAAUUGACGGGGACCCGCACAAGCGGUGGAGCGUGUUCUUUAAUUCGAUGGUAAGCGAAGAACCUUACCAGGGUUUGACAUCCUUGGAAUUUCUCCGAAAGGAGAGAGUGCUUUAUUGAGCCAAGUGACAGGUGUUGCAUGGCCGUCGUCAGCUCGUGUCGUGAGAUGUUUGGUUAAGUCCAUCAACGAGCGCAACCCUUAUAGUUAGUUGGAUUUCUCUAGCUAGACUGCCCCGGUAACGGGGAGGAAGGAGGGGAUGAUGUCAGGUCAGUAUUACCCUUAAACCCUGGGCUAGAAACACGCUACAAUGGCCGGUACAAAGGGCUGCCAAGUCGCGAGACGGAGCAAAUCCCAUCAAAACCGGUCCCAGUUCGGAUAGGAGGCUGAACUCGCCUCCUGAAGCCGGAUCGCUAGUAACGGUGAGUCAGCACAUCACCGUGAUACGUUCCCGG